GUGCCUGAGUAAGCCCCAUGGGAACACAGCCGUGGUGGGAAGCAGCUUCCCAGCAGCCCUCCCCGCCAUCGGGAGAAUCCCCUGAGGCCAUGAGAGGGUCUCAGGGAGGUGGACGGCCCAUCAAGUGAGAACCGAGGGCACUGUGCACUCCUGAAUCCUAGGACUCCUCUUAGCUGUGUCUUGUCUCUACUUGGGGUACAAUUAAUAGCAGAGCCAGUCAUGUCCUACCAGCAUUCCUUUUAUACAGGCUGGAUAUAUGUGUCAUUGACUAACAACAUCAACAAUGAAAUGAAUCUGAGAAAACAGGAAAUUGAGAGCAAGAGAAAAAAAAGUUAAUUAUACUGAUUUUGUAUAAGACCCCUUUGAACACAUUUUUAAAAAAUCAAAUAGAAGGUGCCCAGGUCCACUGUGCCUUGUGAAUAUUUGUCUUGUAUAUCCUAGAGAUCUACGCAUUCAUGUGGGAAUUGAAAAGGACCCACAUUUUACUAGAAGCAUCGUUCAUUUUUGCCUCAAAACAAUGCCCACAUGUCAGAAGAACUUUCACAAUUCACAGGAACAGUGACCUAAUUAACCAACCAUAAAAUUGCCAAAUCCCUACUUCUCAUUGUUUAAUAUGCUUAGAAAACCCAUUCAAAUUGUGAAUUAUCAAGUGAGCUUACACUGAUAAAUAGAUCCAAUAUUUAGGAAUUUUUAAAUCUUCCAUUCCUUUUUUUUUUUUGUCUUUUUAAAAAUAGAACAUUAGAAUAUGUCCUCCAGGUUUUAGAGAUGGGGGAGACAUGCUUCCCUUUAUUUCUCAGUAACUCAGCCAAAAAAAAUCUGGAGAGAAUGCAAAGACAGCUACUGGAAACUUUGAAAAGUAGAUGUGAGCCCAUCAGGGAAGAGCUAGAGAAUCUGAAAUCUACUCGAAAAAGUGAGUUUGAUACUUUGUGUUCCUAUCCUAACUCCACACAGCCUGAAACUUGGAAGUGAGCAUGAUGGAGUGGAUACAGUGAGAUGCAGAAGAAAUCCUCCAGUUUGGGCUGGAAGGGAAAAAAGAGACCCCUAAAACUCAGAGACAGUGGAAGAAAUUCCUGGUGUUUUUUUCUUCUCUUUUUCUCUGUUCUUCCACAUAGCAAUUUAGUAUUGACUACAGCAUCUCUGUUACAAUGAUAGCACCGAAAUGUUGUAACCAUAUGGCCUGCAAAGCCAAAAAUACUUAUCUGACCAUCUACAGGAAAAGUUUGCUGAUCUGGAUGAAA
rnacentral:lncRNA from 1 species